CACGUCUCUUACAAUGCUCCUGCCUUGCAGCCUCAGAAAUUGCUCUAUGAAAUACAAUCAAGAAAAAACAAUUUAUGUGGAAGAGCACAUAACAAGUAGAAGAUUGCUGGGUCAUAGCUAAGAACCUGUAUUUCACACUCAAAACCCACAUAUUCAGCUGCCAAUGUGCCCACCUAUCCAGAAACUCAACCUGUUUACAUAAAAGAAUCCACAAGAGACUUGCAGGCAACCUCAGGCUUUGGAAAUUAGAAACAGAGGUGCAACCUCAGGCUUUGGAAACCGCCACCUUUUAGAACC
rnacentral:lncRNA from 1 species